rnacentral:sRNA from 1 species
GUCGGAUUCGGAAUGAAGCGAUUCACCCGAUCUCCGAUGACCGCCUGAAAGUGCUUGCCGUCCUGGAAGAUCUGGACCCCACGCCUGCGGAACUUCUU